rnacentral:rRNA from 1 species
CUACGGGAGGCACCAGUCGAGAAUCUUCCGCAAUGGACGAAAGUCUGACGGAGCGACGCCGCGUGCGGGAUGAAGGCCUUCGGGUUGUAAACCGCUGUCAGUGGGGAGGAAAUGCAUCAGGGUUCUCCCUGGUGUUUGACCGAUCCGCAGAGGAAGCGCAGGCUAAGUUCGUGCCAGCAGCCGCGGUAACACGAACUGCGCGAACGUUAUUCGGAAUCACUGGGCUUAAAGAGUUCGUAGGCGGCCUUUCAAGUCGGGUGUGAAAUCCCUCGGCUCAACCGAGGAAUUGCGCCUGAUACUGUUGGGCUUGAGGGGGAUAGGGGUGAGCGGAACUGAUGGUGGAGCGGUGAAAUGCGUUGAUAUCAUCAGGAACACCGGUGGCGAAGGCGGCUCACCGGAUCUCUUCUGACGCUGAGGAACGAAAGCUAGAGGAGCGAACGGGAUUAGAUACCCGCGUAGUC